GGAGAGAUGGCUGAGUGGUCUAAAGCACUGGUUUGCUAAACCGGCAUACCCCCAAAAGGGGUAUCGGGGGUUCGAAUCCCCCUCUCUCCGCCA
rnacentral:tRNA from 1 species